AUUUAUAUAUUUUAUAAAAAUAUUACAUUUUCAUUGUAAAGAUAUCUAAUUAGAUUAUAAAUA
rnacentral:tRNA from 2 species